UACGUAGGGGGCAAGCGUUGUCCGGAAUUAUUGGGCGUAAAGAGCGUGUAGGCGGUCCGGUAAGUCAGCUGUGAAAGUCAAGGGCUCAACCCUUGAAUGCCGGUUGAUACUGUCGGGCUAGAGUCCGGAAGAGGCGAGUGGAAUUCCCGGUGUAGCGGUGAAAUGCGCAGAUAUCGGGAGGAACACCAAUGGCGAAGGCAGCUCGCUGGGACGGUACUGACGCUGGAGACGCGAAAGCGUGGGGAGCGAACAGG
rnacentral:rRNA from 1 species